rnacentral:rRNA from 1 species
UACGUAGGGUGCGAGCGUUAAUCGGAAUUACUGGGCGUAAAGCGUGCGCAGGCGGUUUUCCAAGACAGAUGUGAAAUCCCCGGGCUCAACCUGGGAAUGGCAUUUGUGACUGGAAGGCUAGAGUGUGUCAGAGGGGGGUAGAAUUCCACGUGUAGCAGUGAAAUGCGUAGAGAUGUGGAGGAAUACUGAUGGCGAAGGCAGCCCCCUGGGAUAACACUGACGCUCAUGCACGAAAGCGUGGGGAGCAAACAGG